rnacentral:rRNA from 1 species
GUGAGGAAUAUUGGUCAAUAGACGAGAGUCUGAACCAGCCAAGUCGCGUGAAGGAAGACGGUUCUAUGAAUUGUAAACUUCUUUUGUGCAGGAAUAAAGUGGGUUACGUGUAACCUUUUGUAUGUACUGUACGAAUAAGGAUCGGCUAACUCCGUGCCAGCAGCCGCGGUAAUACGGAGGAUCCGAGCGUUAUCCGGAUUUAUUGGGUUUAAAGGGUGCGUAGGUGGAUUGAUAAGUCAGCGGUGAAAGUUUGCAGCUUAACUGUAAAAUUGCCGUUGAAACUGUCGGUCUUGAGUGCAAAUGAGGUAGGCGGAAUGUGUUGUGUAGCGGUGAAAUGCUUAGAUAUAACACAGAACUCCGAUUGCGAAGGCAGCUUACUGGGAUGCAACUGACACUGAUGCACGAAAGCGUGGGUAUCAAACAGGAUUAGAUACCCCGGUAGUCC